UACCUUCUAUCAUUCCUUUUAAUUUCAUAAUUCCUUUAAUCAUCUAAUCUUUUCACUCACAUUGCGCCCUCUGGCAUUCCGGGGGGCAUGCCUGUCCGUGCGUCAUUACGCACCCUCAAGCCCUGCUUGUGUGAUGGGCCCCGGCGUCUCGUUCGCGAGACGGGCCCGAAAGGCAGCGGCGGCGUCGACCCGAUGAGCCCGAGCGUAUGGGGACUUCUGUCACACGUUCGCGGUGCGGACCGGCGCCUGCUUUGACUUUUCUGAUUAUCCAGGUUGACCUCGGAUCAGGUAGGGAUACCCGCUGAACUUAAGC
rnacentral:misc_RNA from 1 species